rnacentral:rRNA from 1 species
AGCAGCCGCGGUAAUUCCAGCUCCAAUAGCGUAUAUUAAAGUUGUUGCAGUUAAAAAGCUCGUAGUUGAACUUCGGGGUUCACCCAUUGGUCAGGCUUAAUUGUCUGUACUGGUGAGAUGAAUCUCUACCUUCUGAGGAACUUUCAUGCCAUUUAUUUGGUGUGAUGGGAAAUCAGGACUGUUACUUUGAAAAAUUAGAGUGUUUAAAGCAGGCUAACGUCUGAAUACAUUAGCAUGGAAUAAUGAAAUAGGACGGACUGAUUCUAUUUCGUUGGUUUCUAGGAUCACCGUAAUGAUUAAUAGGGAUAGUUGGGGGCAUUAGUAUUCAAUUGUCAGAGGUGAAAUUCUUGGAUUUAUUGAAGACUAACUACUGCGAAAGCAUUUGCCAAGGAUGUUUUCAUUAAUCAAGAACGAAAGUUAGGGGAUCGAAGACGAUCAGAUACCGUCGUA